rnacentral:rRNA from 1 species
CAGCCUGCCCAGUGACAAAGUUCAACGGCCGCGGUACCCUAACCGUGCGAAGGUAGCAUAAUCACUUGUUCUUUAAAUGAGGACUUGUAUCAACGGCACUACGAGGGCUAUACUGUCUCCUUUUUCUAAUCAGUGAAACUGAUCUCCCCGUGAAGAAGCGGGGAUCAAAAUAUAAGACGAGAAGACCCCAUGGAGCUUUAAACUCACCACACACCUCUGUGAUGCUAUACCAUUAAACACAAGAAAUCUGUGUGCUAGUUUUAGGUUGGGGUGACCACGGAGUACAAUUUAACCUCCAUAACAAAUGGGCUAAUACCCUUAUCCACGAGACACAACUCUAAGAAUUACUAAACUAAUGCUUAUGACCCGAUAUUCGAUCAAUGAACCAAGUUACCCUGGGGAUAACAGCGCAAUCUACUUCAAGAGCCCCUAUCGACAAGUAGGUUUACGACCUCGAUGUUGGAUCAGGGUAUCCCGGUGGUGCAGCCGCUACCGAUGGUUCGUUUGUUCAACGAUUAAAACCCUACGUGAUCUGA